GCAUUGCACGCACCUGAGCUCCCCGGGCUGGCCCGGCCUUCCGCCACGUGCUCCGUCACUGCUUCAGGCCGGGACUCAGCACUGCCACUACAGAUGGGGUGGUGGCACAUGGGGAGGAUGGGGAUGCCAUGGGAUGGUGGCACAUGGAAGGGUGGAGGUGUUCAGAAAUGGUGACACGUGGGCAGAGUGGAGGUGCCGUGGGAUGGUGGCACAUGGGAGGAUGGAGACGGUAUGCGAUGGUGGCACAGGGACAGGAUGGAGAUGUGGUGGGAUGGUGGCACAUGGAAGGGUGGAGAUGCCAUGGGAUGGUGGCAUGGGGACAGGAUGGAGAUGCCCUGGGAUGGUGGCACAUGGAAGGGUGGAGAUGGGGUGGGAUGGUGGCACAUGGAAGGGUGGAGGUGUUCAGAAAUGGUGACACAUGGGCAGAGUGGAGGUGCUGUGGGAUGGUGGCACAUGGGAGGAUGGAGACAUCCAGUUUGGCACAGGGACAGGACGGAGAUGCGGUGGGAUGGUGGCACAUGGAAGGAUGGAGACGGUAUGCGAUGGUGGCACAGGGACAGGAUGGAGAUGUGGUGGGAUGGUGGCACAUGGAAGGGUGGAGACAUCCAGUUUGGCACAGGGACAGGAUGGGGAUGCGAUGGGAUGGUGGCACAGGGAUAGGACGGAGGCGCUGAGAAGCGGCGGCGCAGGGCAGGUGGGGGUGUUAUGGGCAGGUGGGGUUGUUAUGGGCCGGCGGCGCAGCGAAGGACGGAGGUGGGGACGCCGGGAGGCGGCGCAGUGCGGCCCGCUGUGGGGCGGCGCAGAGCUGCGGCGCUGGGAGCGUUUGGUUCUCAUUAUGGGCUGCUGGCAGCGGCGGUGGAAAAAAUAGCAGUGAGUGCAGAGCUGGGAGGGAGAGGGGCCGUGGAGGGGCGGCUGCGGUGUGCAAACAGCGAGCGGUGAGCACGGCCAGCGUGCAAAUACAGCGUGCAACGUGUGCUCAGCGUGCAACGUGCAAAUAAAGCGUGCAGCGUGUGUGCUUAGUGUGCAAGGAAAGCGUGCAACGUGUGCUCAGCGUGCAACGUGCAUAUAAAGUGUGCGGCAUGUGUGCUCAGUGUGCAAAGAAAGUGUGCAACGUGUGCUCAGCGUGCAUAUAAAGUGAGCAACGUGUGCUCACUGUGCAAGGAAAGCAUGCAAUGUGUGCUCAGAGUGCAACAUGCAAAUAAAGCGUGCAGUGUGUGUGCU
rnacentral:lncRNA from 1 species